GAAAGUUUAAUUUGAUUCCUCUCAUGCAAGGGACACGCUGUUCUCAUUCAAGUGUUCAUCACUAAAAUAGAUGUAAAAGAACCCAUCUAUGACCUAUCCAUGAAAAUCAAACAUCGGCAAUGGUGAUGGAGCUAGAUUGUGACCUUUUACACAGCAGUAUAAUCCAAUGGCCAGCCACAACUUUCAUUGCAAACUACAAUUGCAGCCAAUACCCCAUUAAGGCUUAUUGUUCAUUGAAUCCAAUAUACACAUGAUCUACCCCAAGCCUCCAACAGAUGGAGGAAAAGAGUUCAACACGUAUAACACCAUAACUCUGGCAAUGCCAAUUACUAGUUUGAUGCCCCUGCAAAAUAAAAAAAUUCAUUAGGUGAAUAGCAUUAUAAAUAAUUCAAACAACACCACUAACCCAAAAUUGAGUAAUGAAUUAUAAUUAACAUCAAUUGCAAAUAACAAUUAACAUGUAUAUUUCCAUAAUUAUAUGUGGUAUGAGUCCAUGCUUAGCAAGUCGCAUAAUUGAUGUAACCAUGAUUAAGACCCCAAAACCCAUUUAAGAGCUACAAAGAAACAUGCUCUGAACUACGCCAUUCUACUGACCUUAACCAAAUAGAAAAAGGCAAUUAAAUUGUGCCUGAAAGAGUAAAUGGAUUUCAUACCUGAUGUUUUAGAAGCAGACACUCCUCCUCAUAUUGCUUCUCUAAUUCUAGUGAAUCUUCUUGAUUAGAUCACCCAUAACAAUAUGUAACAAAACUUAUCUAUGGAAUGUAUUAAUUCGAUCAAAAGCUCGUGUAAAAGAAACAUAGGCUCGGUUUACAUUUAUCAUACAACAAGAAUUUGACACAACUACAAUUGACUUAAUAUAUACAACAACAUUAUGCUCACGUACUGAAGAAAAUAGUCAACAUCAUGCCUAUAAACAGAAUUUGGCCACUAUGAACAGAAUUUAGUGACUAGCUUCAGUAUCCCAUCACUCUCUACCGACAACACCAGCUUCUUUCACCAGCUGCUCAGUCAAAGCUGACAAUCGAGCAACACCUGUUCUAACCUCCUUCAAACUUUCAUUGUUCUCAAAUGUGCCUAUCUGAUAAUCAGGGCCAUUUUGUGUGAACGUAUCAACAUCGGUAUCAGCAUCAAUGCUCAGACUAGCUUUAUUCAGAAGUUCUCGACUCAUCCCAGCAAGCUUCUGCAGAGCAAUGGUUGCAGCUUCAACUUCCAGUUGAGCUGCCUCAAGUUGUAGCUUCUCGAUAGCCAGGUCCCCAAUACUUUUCUCACCAAUUCUCUCUUGUGCCAAAGAAUAAAGCUUUUUCAGAUCAUUAGCAUCUGUUACCAUUUCGUCCUUGAGUCCUUUUAGUUCCCUUUCCCUGGAAUCUAAUCUCUCAAUAACUGCUUUGAGCUCCUCAUCUUUGAUUGUGAGAGCCCUCUGUGUAGCUAGGAGUUCCAUUUCUUUCAUUCUUAAGCUCUCUCUGGUCAGCCUGAGCUCACUUUCAAGCUGUUUCUUCUGCAAACUAAAAUCAUCACUUGACUUGUCCAAUGGUUGUCGAAUGAGUUCCAAGCCCAUGCUCUCAGAUUGCCCAAAUGCAUUAUAGUCUUCAUCCUUGACGGUAAUAACCAGUUUGUUUGUAAGCUCUACAAUCCGUUCCACUACAGUUUCAGCUUCAGAGAUUUUCAUCCUUGUGUCAUUCAGCUCAUCUUGCAUCAUGUGAACAUGCUCCUCUUUCUCCUUUAGCAUAUUUGUGGCUUGAAUUAGUUGGUCUUCUUUACUGCUCAAAAGCAUCUUUAGCUCAGCAACCUCCCGGUCUACUUCCUCCAGCUUCUUCUUUGCAUUAAAGAGUAGCAAAUCUUUCUCCUCCAAGAGAAGCUGAAGAGAAGACUGCUCAGAUUUCAAAUGCUGAAUUUCUAGCUUAGCCUCCACCAAUUCUGAUUCUUUAAACUGAAGAAUACCAUGAAUUUCCCCCAAUUCAGUAUUUUUUUCCUCUAGUUCCUGCUGUAAAGAAGACAUCUCCUUCAUUGCCUGCUUCAAAGAAGAUUUCUCCUUCUUCAACUGCUCAUGUAACUCUUUCAUGAGCUCCUUCUCCAAGGAUAAGUCUUGUUCAAGCUCCUUGUUUCGAGACUCUGCAACCCUAAGUUUUACUCUCUCACUCUCAACUUCUAUUUGGGCAUCUUUCAAACUAGUCAUGUAAGAUAUUACACUCUUCCUCUCCUCUUCAAGUUCCACUAGCUGCUUUUUUAAUAGCUGCUCCUGUUCUUCCAUUCGCUUUCUGGAGGAUGCCAGAGAUUUCUGUGAAGAAACCAGCUCAGAUCUCACAUCAACUAGAAGCUUUUUCACUCUUAUGAAAUCCUUCACAGUUUCAUUAGCUUCUACCAUAUGUUUAGAUGUUUCAUCUGCCAACUUCUUCAGUUCCUCCUGUGCUAUUAACCAUUCCAUUGUCUGCUUCUCUAAAUUGGCCUCUGCAACUUUUAACUUCUCCUCUUCAAGUCUUCUAAGAGUCAUAGAAACUUCCAGUUCUUCUUCUUUCUCUUGGAGAGCAUUUUUUAGUCCUUGAAUCUCAAUUUCUUGUUUCUUUACAAUUUCAUUGGCUUCAUCCAAGAGUUGAGCCUUGUAUUUCAGUUCAGAGUCAAUUUUAGUAACUUCCUCACUCUUCUUUGUCAGCUCACUUGUCAUUUUUUCCAUUUCAUGUUCCUUUACAAAUAGAGCAGAUUGUGCAGCAACCACCCCCUCCUCCCUCUCCUUAAGUUGAAGCUUUAAAUCUUCAAUCUGCCUGGCUUGAAAAGCUAGGUUAAGAUUUGCCUCCUUCACCUCCCCUUCUAGUUUUUCAUGCUUAGAAUAUGCAACAGCAAUUUCUUUUUCUCGUUGCUCCAACUCCUCCUUUGCACGGUUUAAAUCGUUGUGCUCUGACAAAACCUGUUUUUCUGCGUGUUGAAGAUCCUCUUCCUUCUUCCUCAAGGCUUCCAAAACAGCCAGAAGAUCAGACUCGAGGAUUUCAAGGUUAAACCCUGGUUGAACAUCCUUGGGAAGCUGAGAAUCUCCGCUCAUCUCUUCUUCAAGUUUCUGUGUCUGAGCAAACAAUCUCUCAAGAAGAAUCCUUGCAGGUUCAGUUGCCCCAUUGUCAUUAAACUUCGGCUUGCUGCCAUUUAAGGCUGAUUUGACAAUCCACCUUGAAGGUAUUGUUGUCUUUGCAAUUUUUAUAAAAUUCGGUCUGUUCUGCUUCACACUGAACCUCAGCGAGAACAACUGCAGCAAAACAUUUAUAUGCUUCCAAUAAAAAUCUAUUAAACUUGAUGUAUAAGCACAAUUUUCUUUCAAUUUGUUUUGCCCAAUAUUUGGCUGGAAUCCAAUUUAUAAUUCUUAAAUUUUCACAAAAUCAAUUAAAUUUUAAUCUAAAUGAGAGUCCACAUGCACAGAUAAAAAGAUAAAUAAUAGAAAAGAACAAAUUCAAUAUUCAUCCAAUGCAACAGUUAAUUUAACCAAAAGAAAAGGUGAAAAUUUCCUAUUGUUCAUCAUGCAUUCUCUUACCAAGAAAGGACUAGCAUCAUUUUACCCAGAAAAGUAGGAAAUUUUUUACACAACUGAACAGAUAAUAAAUAAUCUCAGAAAAAAAAAUUAAUAAUAAUAAAUUAACAAAUUCAGAUCCAUAUUACGCACCGACAAUUUCUCAAACCCUAAGUUGUCUCAAUCAUUUGGGAUGAUUCCCCCCACCCCAAAUAAAAACACACAAAUGUACAUAUGGAGAGGGAGAGACCUUUGGGGAGGUGUUGGCCGGAAGAUUGGAGCGAAGAGCAGAAGAAAACCCCAUGUGGCUGUGCUAUUAAGCAAAGCCACAUGCUCAUAUAGGCAGAAACAUGUCUACAAAAGGCCAGUAGGUCGUCGCUUCACUUGGCUUUCAAAAAACAGGUUCUCCUCCACCUUCGGUCUCUAAAAUUACAGAGUUAAUAAAUGAAGGUAGGUGUUUAGCGGACGCAGAAAGUAGACGACAGAGAGCUCCGGAAGACUGAAUGCGAC
rnacentral:misc_RNA from 1 species